GGAGGCGUGGCAGAGCGGUCGAAUGCAGCAUCCUGCUAAGAUGUUGAGGGAGCAAUCCCUCCGAGGGUUCGAAUCCUUCCGCCUCCG
rnacentral:tRNA from 1 species